AUAAUAUUAACGCAGUGACAGGGGUCGGGUUUGUGACACGUUCAGAUGGAGAAGAAAAGGAUUUAUGGGCGCUUUUGGGGUCGGCUAUCGCAAUUGUAGAGGUAGCAGCAGCCAACGCGUCGAGUUCCUUUAUUUUUCUAUUUAUUUUAUUUUAUUUUGUAUUAUUUUUUAUUCCCAGGGAGGAUUUCAGGGCCCGUUGUCGCACGGCGGUGCCUGGAGGUGGGGGUGAAUUUUUUGCUGCUGCAAAUCUCCUCAGACCGUCUGUUGGGGAAAAAGCACCCGGAGUUCGACCAGAAUCUUCAGGGGAAAUAAUAAUACUAAUAAUAAAAUCUGGAUCGUAAAGGUGAAAGCUUUAUAUUUGGGGGAGAAAACCCAAAUCCUCACCCAACCCCCCCUCCCCCAGA